GAUGAACGCUGGCGGCGUGCCUAAUACAUGCAAGUCGAGCGAACAGACGAGGAGCUUGCUCCUCUGACGUUAGCGGCGGACGGGUGAGUAACACGUGGAUAACCUACCUAUAAGACUGGGAUAACUUCGGGAAACCGGAGCUAAUACCGGAUAAUAUAUUGAACCGCAUGGUUCAAUAGUGAAAGACGGUUUUGCUGUCACUUAUAGAUGGAUCCGCGCCGCAUUAGCUAGUUGGUAAGGUAACGGCUUACCAAGGCGACGAUGCGUAGCCGACCUGAGAGGGUGGUCGGCCACACUGGAACUGAGACACGGUCCAGACUCCUUCGGGAGGCAGCAGUAGGGAAUCUUCCGCAAUGGGCGAAAGCCUGACGGAGCAACGCCGCGUGAGUGAUGAAGGUCUUCGGAUCGUAAAACUCUGUUAUUAGGGAAGAACAAAUGUGUAAGUAACUAUGCACGUCUUGACGGUACCUAAUCAGAAAGCCACGGCUAACUACGUG
rnacentral:rRNA from 1 species